rnacentral:rRNA from 1 species
GUGCCAGCAGCCGCGCGGUAAUACCAGCAGUUCAAGUUGCAUCCAUUUUUAUUGGGUCUAAAACAUCCGUAGCUUGCCGUUUAAGUCUCUUGUGAAAUCCUACGUCUCAAGCGUGGUGAAGUGCAGGAGAUACUGAGCGGCUAGAGAUCGGUAGACGUAAGGAGUACGCCGGAGGUAGUGGUAAAAUACGUUAAUCUUCGGUGGACUAACAAUGAGCGAAGGCACCUUACGAGGACGAAUCUGACAGUGAGGGAUGAAGGCCAGGGGCGCAAAACGGAUUAGAUACCCGUGUAGUCCUGGCAGUAAACACUGCUCACUAAACAUCGGGCCCUCUUCGGGAGGAUUCGGUGCUGAAGCGAAGGCGAAGAGUGAGCUACCUGGGAAGUAUAGUCGCAAGAUCGAAACUUAAAGGAAUUGGCGGGGAGACAUACAACGAGUGACGCGUGCGGUUCAAUCAGAUUUUACACCGUGAACCUCACCAGGAGCGACAGCAGGAUGAAGGUCAGUCUAAAGGGCUUACCUGACACGCUGAGCGGAGAUACAAAGCCGACGUCAGCCUGUGCUGUGAAGUGACCUGUUAAAUCAGGUAACAGGCGAGACCCGUGUCGUUAAUUACUACAGAAAUGGGUACAUUAAUGAGAUUGCCUUGGUAACAAGGAUGAAAGUGCGGGCUACGUUAGGUGGCUUGUCCCUAAUCCCCUGGGCUACACGCGCGCGGCAAUGGUAUGUUCAAAUGGAUGCGACUCCGAGAGGAGAAGCUAAUCCCCUAACGCAUAUCUCAGUCCAGAUAGAGGGUUGCAACCCACCCUCUUAACGUUGGAAUUCGUAGUAAUCGGAUAUUAGCACUGUCCGGUGAAUAAGUCCCUGUCUCUUGCACACACCGCUCGUCAAAUCCAUAUGACUAG